UCUCGCUCGUUGCCGUAGACGUGUUCCCGCUUCUUCCUGUCGUUGUCCGUUACGCCCCACAUUAUCUCGGCCACGCACACAUCCAGCUCAACCGGCUGCUUGCUGCGCCUGAAGGACUCGUUUGUAGGCAAUCGCGUACACGCUGCAGCUCACGACCCAUCGGUGCUGUCUCCCUCGUCGAAAGCCACUUUCGCUCUCCCCUCCCACGCCCAAGAGAAGAUUUCGGAUGCCUGUAUUCGGCACAAAGAUGCUCGGCGCUGGCUGCAUGCUGGCGGUGGCUGGCGCGGCCGUUGCCUACGGCGUCGAUCCAGCGAACAUGGAUGCCUGCAUAGCUGUCAUGUACCCGCAGUGUGCCGGUUUCUUUGGCGCCAUGGGUGCGGCCGCCGCCCUCGUCUUUGCCAACCUGGGCUCUGCCUACGGCGCGGCCAAGUCUGGCGUCGGCGUCGCCUACCUCGGCCUCACUGCCCCUGAGAAGAUUAUGCGCGGCAUCGUACCGGUUGUCAUGGCCGGUAUCCUCGGCAUAUACGGCCUUAUUAUUGCCGUCAUCAUCAACAAUAACAUCCACACGGAGGACACCAGCUAUUCCUCCUACGCGGGCUUUCUCCACCUCGGCGCCGGUGUUGCGGCUGGGCUCGCGGCCCUCGGCGCCGGUCUCUCCAUCGGCGUCGUCGGGGACACCGCGGCGCGUGCGUAUGGUAAGCAGGACCAAAUCUUCGUGGCGAUGGUGCUCAUGCUGAUCUUUUCCGAGGCGUUGGGUCUCUACGGGCUUAUCAUUGCGCUGCUGAUGAACAACCAGGCGAACCGCUACACCAAUCUGUGCAGCGCUUCGUAAAGCGCGAAAGGCACGCACGCAAAAAGAAAACGCGGCAGCGCGUUGUGCCCCACGUAGCAGGGCGAGACCGAAGAGCCGUCAUCACCAGGGAUGCGCAGCGUUGGGUACCGGGUGGUCUGCGCGGUAGCGUGGCAGCGAAGGGUUGCACGGUAGUGAGAAGACGUCUGUGUUUUUGGCUGCCACGCCGCUGUGCUUGCGGCGCACAAAGUACCUGCUCCCCCUCCCACUCUCUCUCGCCACGUGUCCUCGCGCGUUUGUGCGUCCGCGUGCGUGUGCGCAGUCGUGCAUCUGAGUUGCCGGCCGAGCUAGCGAAUGGGUUACAGGCCGUCGGUGCUCUGAGAUGCGCUCAUGUUGUUUGCACUACAUGUGCUGUGUUGCAGCUCCCCAUCUCGCCGCCACCUACACUCCACUUCGCCUUGCCGGCGCGCGUUUUGCGCGUGCGCGGUUUGGCUGAUGUUUCGUGUUUUCGCUGGUUUCUUCGUUCUCUUCCCGUAAACCUGUUGCCGUGGCCCAUCUGGCCGGUGCACCGGCCAGUCCGUUGUCCUCAUCUGUGUGUGUGUGUGUUUGUGUCUUCAUCGACACACGUGUUUGCGGUGGAGCUAACGGGAAGGCGUGCUGAGGGUUACGUUGUGACCCAUGCGCGCCAGACGCAGGUGUUUGAGGGAUGUUCUGGUGCUUCGGUGAUUAUUUUUUUUUUUUGGGGGGGGGGUUCAUCUUCAUUUGUCACUGCGUUGUUUGGCGAUGUGGACGGUGAUAACGAUAGAAGCAUUCCCGUGACUAGGUGUGUGCCGUUGUUUUGUGCCACCCUAUCAAGCUGUGAAGUACCCACACCACCACCACCACCACACCCUCCACUCUCGAAAGACAACGAAAGACAAGG
rnacentral:misc_RNA from 1 species